rnacentral:lncRNA from 1 species
GUUGGAAACUUUGCCCCAGGAUGCAAGGAGAAAUCGCGCUCCAGCGGCACGGCAGCAGCGGGAGGCGCCAUUAGUGAAAGCGCACCUCAUGUUACGAGUGAUUUCCGGUUACGAACGGACCUCCGGAAUGGAUUAAGUUCACAACCAGAGGUACCACUGUAAUUUAUUAUGUAUGAACUUGGUACCCCAUCCUUCUUCAUUAGAUUAUGGGGUGCUGCUAUCUCAUUUUAUUCUCACAGGACAAAAAUUUAGUGAAAGAUAGUGACUAGCCCAAAUUAUCCAAUGAGAUUUGUGUCAAAUUGGGUUAUGAACCCGUUCCAAUAUGCUACUGCCCACUCUGUCUGUUGUUCACCCAUCAACCUGCUUUGUCCAUCAAUGUACAAACUCUCGAACUUAGUUUACUAUUCUGAGAAACAAUAGUAAUAUAUAUUUAUACAUAUAUUUAUUUUGCAGAUGCAUAUGAAACUGCCAACUACUACUUUUCAACAUUUCAAGUAACGCAGAAUACAUUGACUGUCACUGUGGUCCACAACAAUCUACCUGAUGCCCUUGUCUUAAGAAUGGGUUAUCUGCAUGUCUGGGGAGUCACAUCCUCAGUUACAAGUGUUACUGUUACUUAUGAUGGGCAAACAGAACCAGCUACCCUAGAAUAUGAUUCAGCAAACCAGAUACUAAAAGUGGAUCUCACCAGCAAAGAUUACCUCAUUCAUAAAUUAGCCCAGGUCAGAUGGGUGACAAGCACUUAACUGUCUGCAGAAAACAUGCUCCAUGAGAACCUCGCCGUGGCUCUAAUGAAUGUGUAUUGUAAUAUAUUUUAAAAAACUGUGUUUUGUUAUGUUAGCAGUAAACAAAUGAAGGAAUGGGUGGGACUGAACUGUAGUUAAAAUAUAAUAAGGCAUUUUCAUUUUUUUUAAGGCAAACCAUUUUUGUUGUAUCUGACAACUCUAGAAUACUGCUUUCGGCCUUUAAAAUGAGAAGGGAUGUUUAUUUCACUGGAAUGCAGGGGUAGGGGAUAAAUUUGUAAAAUAGGCAGUUGAAUGUAUUUAAUAUAUAUAUCAAUUAUAGCAGUACAAUCUGUAUGUCAGGAAUCACAUUUUUGGUCUGUUUUGCAAAGGAGUUAAAAUGCCAGUAUGAUGCCUAACAUGAUGAACUAUGCAAUUGUAGUUUAUUAUGAUGUUUAUAAAUAUCUCUGCAAGAGUGUGUGAUAAAAUGCAACAGAGCAUUAUUAUUAUUUUGUAAAUUAUACUAAUGUGACAAUAAAACUCCACCGACAAUGUACAUAGUUGCACGUGUAGAUUUUGUGUGUGUGUGUGUGUGUGCGCGCGCGCGCGCGCGCACAUAUGUAUAGACUUUAGUAGCGUCACUAAGACUUGGAUUUUCCGGCUGAUAAUACUCACCUCACUUUCAAGCUUCAUAUACUUUUGAAGCUCAGUUUCUAAUCAGAGCUAUUGAUU